ensembl:lncRNA
CACAGAUUUAUAAAAAUAUCGUCGUUAAAUAUAGGGGUGCAACAAUUACUGGCACCCUUUUAGUCAAUUCUUAAGUCAAUACUACCUCCCUUUGCCGAGAUAACAGCUCCGAGUCUUCUCCUAUAAUGCCUGAUGAGGUUGGAGAAUACAUUGCAAGAGAUCCGAGACCAUUCUUCCAUACAGAAUCUCUCCAGAUCCUUCCAAAUUCGAGGUCCACACUGGUGGACUCUUCUCUUCAGUUCACCUCACAGGUUUUUUAUGGGUUUCAAGUCAGGGGACUGGGAUGGAUAUGAUAGGACCUUGAUUUUGUGGUCAGUAAACCAUUUUUGUGUUGAUUUUGAUGUAUGUUUUGGAUCAUGAGUUCUCAUUUAAUAUCUGUUGAUAUUUGAUAGUCCAUGAUGCCAUGUAUCCUAACAAAAUGUCCAGGUCCUCUGGCAGAAAAACAGCCCCAAAACAUUAAAGAGCCACCACCAUAUUUAACCGUGGGCAUGAGGUACUUUUCCCAUAUGGCUACCUCUCUGUGUGCCAAAACCACCUCUGGGGUUUAUGCCCAAAAAGCUCUAUUUUGGUUUCAUCUGACCAUAGAACCCGACCCCAUUUGAAGUUCCAGUAGUGUCUGACAAACUGAAGACGCUUGUGUUUGUUUUUGGAUGAGUGUGGAGGAUUUUUUCUUGAAACCCUUCCAAACAACUUGUGGUGAUAUAGGUGACUUCAGAUUGUAGUUUUGACUUUCUGACCCCAAGACGCAACUAACUUCUGCAUUUCUCCAGCUGUGAUCCUUGGAGAUUUUUUUGGCCUCUCAAACCAUCCUCUUCACAAUGCGUUGAGACAAUAUAGACACACGUCCAAUUCCAGGUUGAUUCAUAACAUUUCCAGUUGACUGGAACUUCUUAAUUAUUGCCCUGAUGGUGGAAAUGGGCAUUUUCAAUGCUUGUGCUAUUUUCUUAUAGUCACUUCCCAUUUUGUGAAGCUCAACAACCUUUUGCCGCACAUCACAGCUAUAUUCCUUGGUUUUACCCAUUCUUAUGAAUGACUAAGGGAAUUUGGCUUAUGUCUUACCUCAUAUUUAUACCCCUGUGAAACAGGAAGUCAUGGUUGUACAAUUUCCUGUUCCUAGUCACCCAGGUGUACUAAAAAAAAUUAAAAAUAUCAGUGGGUAUAUUCUUCAUAUAUAUUUUUUUCAUAUUAAUUCAUAGGAGUGCCAAUAAUUGGUGCACACAUAUAUUUAACAAAGAUAUAUAUUUUUGAUACACCUGUGUUGUGUUUGCAAUUGUUUGAUAUCCAUUAGAGCAGAGUAUUUUUGUGAAUUUUUUUUUAAACAAAAGAGCAAAAGGUUCAACAAUAAAGACAAUUUUUUCACAUCCUUCUUUGCUCAUAUUUAGAGAGGGUGCCGAUAUUAGUGGAGGCCACUGUACAUGCAUAACCAAAAGGCUGAAAUUAGGUUUUUGAAGCAGAAUCU